rnacentral:rRNA from 1 species
UACGUAGGGGGCAAGCGUUGUCCGGAAUCAUUGGGCGUAAAGCGCGUGUAGGCGGUUCGGUAAGUCGGCUGUGAAAGUCCAGGGCUCGAACCCUGGAUGCCGGUCGAUACUGCCGGACUAGAGUUCGGAAGAGGCGAAUGGAAUUCCUGGUGUAGCGGUGAAAUGCGCAGAUAUCGGGAGGAACACCAAUGGCGAAGGCAGCUCGCUGGGACGUUACUGGACGCUGAGACGGCGAAAGCGUGGGGAGCAAACAGGGAUUAA